rnacentral:pre_miRNA from 1 species
GGCCCAAAUUUGAAGUAGAGUGGAUUAGAAGGGUAAUCUGACCGUGCUAAACUAGUCUACCUCGAGUUUGUGCCC